UGGGGAAUUUUGGACAAUGGGCGAAAGCCUGAUCCAGCAAUGCCGCGUGUGUGAAGAAGGCCUUCGGGUUGUAAAGCACUUUUGUCCGGAAAGAAAUCCUUGGCUCUAAUACAGUCGGGGGAUGACGGUACCGGAAGAAUAAGCACCGGCUAACUACGUGCCAGCAGCCGCGGUAAUACGUAGGGUGCAAGCGUUAAUCGGAAUUACUGGGCGUAAAGCGUGCGCAGGCGGUUUGCUAAGACCGAUGUGAAAUCCCCGGGCUCAACCUGGGAACUGCAUUGGUGACUGGCAGGCUAGAGUAUGGCAGAGGGGGGUAGAAUUCCACGUGUAGCAGUGAAAUGCGUAGAGAUGUGGAGGAAUACCGAUGGCGAAGGCAGCCCCCUGGGCCAAUACUGACGCUCAUGCACGAAAGCGUGGGGAGCAAACAGGAUUAGAUACCCUGGUAGUCCACGCCCUAAACGAUGUCAACUAGUUGUUGGGGAUUCAUUUCCUUAGUAACGUAGCUAACGCGUGAAGUUGACCGCCUGGGGAGUACGGUCGCAAGAUUAAAACUCAAAUGAAUUGACGGGGUCAUAGCUGUUUCC
rnacentral:rRNA from 1 species